rnacentral:lncRNA from 1 species
AGGCGUGGGCUGCUGCUGCCAGACCCGGGCCCGGUGCAGCCGCCGGCCGUGUAGGCGCUAGGACCCCCAGCCCCGGCGGCGCUGCCCUCACCCGCCUCGUUCCCGCUCCCGUCCUACCCCGUUCCGCGCUGGGUAGAGUCCAAGUCUGAUUGCGAGGGUGCGGAACGCCGCCUCGGGGGCUUGACUUCAAUCUCCGGGGAUCCCGAACGCCGCUCCGGGGUCCCCACGUCUGCCUUGGGGGCUCGGAGUCCAGCCCUGGGGUCCCGGACACCGCCCGGGGUCCCGGACACCGCCCGGGGGUCUCUACGUCUGCUCUGGAGCCUGGAGUGCCGCCGUGGGGGUCCCGGACGCCGCCCAGGAGUCCCCACGUCUGCCCUGGGGGCAUGAGUCCAGCCCUGGGGGUCCCGGACGCCACCCAGGGAGCCCCAUGUCUGCUUUGGGGGCUCGAGUGCAGCCCUGGGGGUCCCGGACGCCGCCCGGGGGUCCUCACGUCUGCCUUGGAGACUGGCGUUCCCCCGUGGGAGUCCCAGACACCGCCCAGGUGGGUCCCCACGUCUGCCUUGGGGGCUGGAGACCUGCUCUGGGGGUCCGGGACGCCGCCCAGGAGUCCCCACCUCUGCUCUGGGGGCUGGAGACCUGCUCUGGGGGUCCCGGACGCCGCCCAGGAGUCCCCACCUCUGCUCUGGGGGCUGGAGAACUGCUCUGGGGGUCCCGGACGCCGCCCAGGAGUCCCCACCUCUGUUCUGGGGGCUGGAGACCUGCUCUGGGGGUCCCGGACGCCGCCCAGGAGUCCCCACCUCUGCUCUGGGGCUGGAGACCUGCUCUGGGGGUCCCGGACGCCGCCCAGGAGUCCCCACCUCUGCUCUGGGGCUGGAGACCUGCUCUGGGGGGGUCCCGGGCGCCGCCCAGGUGGGUCCCCCUCGUCUGCCUUGGGGCUUGAGUCCAGCCCUGGGGUCCCCACAUCUAGCCUUGGGGGCUUGGGUCCAGCCCCAGGCGUCCUGGACACCGCCCAGGAGUCCCCACGUCUGGCCGGGGGGCUGGAAUCCUGUCCUGGGGGUCCCGGACGCCUCCCAGGGGUCCCCAUGUCUGCCUUGGGCCUCGAGUCCAGCCGUGAGGGUUCCGAAUGCUGCCUUGGAGGGUGGAGUCCAGCUCUGAGGGUCCUGAAGUCUGCUUUGGGGCCUCGAGUCCAUCCCAGGGGUCUCGGAGUCUACACUGGGGGCCUGGAUGGGAUCCAGCGGGUCUGGGUCCAGCCUGGGGAGCCCCUGCGGUGGAGCUGUGAGUGCGGCAGGGGCCUGGGAGAUGCCAGGAGGAUGCGAGCGGCGCCCCCAAGAGUCAGCCGGUCCCAGAGAAGCUCCCCCACAAACUGUGACCUGUGGUGUGCAAAGCGUCCCGGAACCCCAGCCCUCACCAGCAGUGCUUGCAUUUUUCAGGAGAUCAGUUGCAUUUGGCAUGUUCCUUAAGCGUCUGCAGGAAGCUGUGGCCUUGGGAUUUCAGGAGGGUUUGCUAAACUCCCCUCAUUGUAGGAUGGGGGUAUCCCAGCUGCUAAUUCCCUUCCUAACAGCCCUGCAGGACCUGGAUUAACGGUGCUAGAGGUGACAUUUUCAACCCGAAGUCCCUAGGAAGGACAGGUGGCUGUAGCCUGCGCAUUUGUGUAAAUUAACCUCCCCUUUUAGUUCUGUGAAAGGAGAACUCGAUUCAUUUAAAGUCACCUGCGUGAAAGGGGCCCUUGAUUAGCUUAAAAAUCACCUGAAUUAGCUUAAAAUCGUGUGAUCUCAAUUGGCCUCUGAAUCUUUACCACCUGCCCGCGUCCUGCAAGCUCCAGGCUACGUUUUAAGGGGGAAUAACGGGGCUCGCCUUUCUGCGUUACUUUAUGUGACCGUAGUUGUAAAACAGAAUGAGGGAGACAGUGGGGAUUGGGCAGAAGUGUCACCCCCAUUUAUGCGUUGGGAAGGAGGCUGAGGUGGGAGGAUUGCUUGAGCCCAGAAGUUUGAUACCAGCAUGGGCAACAUGGUAAGGCCCCUUAUCUACAAAAAAAAAAAAGAAAAAAAAAAAGAAAAA